rnacentral:rRNA from 1 species
CGAUAUCGACGAGUUGAUCCUGGCUCAGAACGAACGCUGGCGGCAGGCCUAACACAUGCAAGUCGAGCGAGGACUUCGGUCCUAGCGGCGGACGGGUGAGUGACGCGUGGGAACGUACCCUUUGCUACGGAAUAGCCCCGGGAAACUGGGAGUAAUACCGUAUGUGCCCUCUGGGGAAAGAUUUAUCGGCAAAGGAUCGGCCCGCGUUGGAUUAGGUAGUUGGUGGGGUAAGUGGCCUACCAAGCCGACGAUCCAUAGCUGGUUUGAGAGGAUGAUCAGCCACACUGGGACUGAGACACGGCCCAGACUCCUACGGGAGGCAGCAGUGGGGAAUAUUGGACAAUGGGCGCAAGCCUGAUCCAGCAAUGCCGCGUGUGUGAAGAAGGCCUGCGGGUUGUAAAGCACUUUCAGUGGGGAAAACAGGCCUGGGCUAAUACCCCAGGUGUCUGACGUUACCCACAGAAGAAGCACCGGCUAACUCCGUG